UCCAAGAUGAGGUAGUCUCAGAUGGAAAUGAAGAACUUGUUGGGAACUGGAGCAAAGGUGACUCUUGUUAUGUUUUAGCAAAGAGACUGGAGGCAUUUUGCCCCUGCCCUAGAGAUCUGUGGAACUUUGAAAUUGAGAGAUAUAAUUUAGGGUAUCUGGCAGAAGAAAUUUCUAAGCAGCAAAGCAUUCAAGAUGUGACAUGGGUGCUGUUAUAGGCAUUCAGUUUUACAAGGGAAGCAGAGCAUAAAAGUUCAGAAAAUGUGCGGCCUGGCAAUGUAAUAGAAAACAAAAUCUCACUUUCUAAGGAUAAAUUCAAGCUGGCUGCAGAAAUUUACAUAAGUAACUAGGAAAUGAAUAUUAAUCCCAAAGAGAAAGGGGAAAUUGUCUCCAGGGCAUGUCAGAGGCCUUCACAGCAGCCCCUCCCAUCGUAGGCCUGGAGGCCUAGGAAGAAAAAGUGGUUUCAUGGGCCAGGCUUAGGGUCCUUUGCUGUAUGUAGCCUAGGGACUUGGUACCCUGCAACCCAGUGGUUCCAGCUGUGACCGAAAGGGGCCAAUGUAGAGCUCAGGCCAUGGCUUCACGGGGUGCAAGCCUUAAGCCUUAGCAGUUUCCACAUGAUAUUGAGCCUGGGAGUGCACAGAAGUCAAGAAUUGAGGUUUGAGAACCUCUGCCUAGAUUGCAGUGGAUGUAUGGAAAUACCUGGAUGUCCAGGCAGAUGUUUGCUGCAGAGAUGGGGCCCUCAUGGAGAACCUCUGCUAGGGCAGUGCAGAAGGGAAAUGUGGGGUUGGAGCCCCCACAUAGAGUCCCUACUGGGGCACCACCUAGUGGAGCUGUGAGAAGAGUGUCACCAACCUCCAGACCCUAGAAUGGUAGAUCCACUGACAACCUGCACCAUGUGCCUAAAAAAGCUGCAGACUCUCAAUGCCAGCCUGGUAAAGCAGAAAGCAGCCAGGAGGGAGGCUGUACUCUGCAAUGCAACAGCGGCAGGGCUGCCCAAGACCAUGAGAACCCACCUCUUGCAUCAGCAUGACCUGGAUGUGAGACAUGGAGUCAAAGGAGAUCAUUUUGGAGCUUUAAGAUUUAACUGCCCUGCUGGAUUGCAGAUUUGCAUGGGGCCUGUAGCCCCUUUCAUUUUGGCCAGUUUCUUCCAUUGGAAAUGCUGUGUUUACCCAAUGCCUGUAUCCCCAUUGGAUUUAGGAAAUAACUAACUUGCUUUUGAUUUUACAUGCUCAUAGGCAGAAGGGAGUUGCCUUGUCUUGGAAGAUACUUUGGACUGAGAACUUUUGAGUUAAUGCUGAAAUGAGUUAAGACUUCAGGGAAUGUUAAAAAGACAUGAAUGGUUUUGAAAUGUGGGGACAUGAGAUAUGGGAGGGGCUUGAGUGGAAUGAUAUGGUUUGGCUUGUCCCCACUCAAAUCUCAUCUUAAAUUUCCUUGUGUUGUAGGACAGACCCAGUGGGAGGUAAUUGAAUCAUGGGGCAGGUCUUUCAAGUGCUGUUUUCAUGAUAGUGAGUAAGUCUCACAAGAUCUGAUAGUUUUAAAAAUGGGAAUUUCCCUGAACAAGCUCUCUCUCUUCUCUUUUCUGCUGCCAUGUGAGAUGUGCCUUUCACUUUCCACCAUGAUUUUGAUGUCUCCCCAGCCACAUGGAACUCACUUCUCCUUGCUGCCACCAUGUGAAGAAGGAUGUGCUUGCUUUACCUUCUGCCAUGAUUUCACUACUAUGGCAAGAUCAAGACUGGAUCUAGGAGAUCUCGGUUCAAUAUGGAGAUUAUCCAGAGAUUCUACUGUUGGAGCCAGAUGCUAUAACUGAAGAGGGUUAAAACUGUCUCCUUUUGGGACACCGAAACAUAGAAGCCUGCCCGGGAAGAGCAGGGUAGAACUUAUAUUCUCUUUGUUCAGCUUCCCAGAGGAAUAAGAAGGCCAGAGUGAAGCCAGAAGGUAGAAGAAUUUGGAAGAACCCUUGGAAGUAGAUGCUGUGAUAAUUAAAUGAUAGGAAGAAACAUGAAGCGAUGAAACAUACUGAACAAUUCCAUGUUUAUGGAAAAAAAUUCUGGUAAUGAACUUACUUCACACCAAAGAGACAAGGAGUAGCAUCAUUACCUCAAGCAAUAUUGCCAGAGAAAAUCUUGACACAGAGAAGACAAGCUCAGUGCUUAAUGUGAAAAUUUAUCUGCACAUACAGAACCAGUCCAUAAUACAGCAUCAUCUCCAUGAGAUCAAAGUGUUCCAAUUAUAUCCUGAGGAGGCUGUUGUUUGAUCUAUUUUUCAACUGUAAGAUGGUCCUUAAUAACAUCAAUAAUAUGUAUUAAUUGGUGGUUCAAUGUUUUUCUCGCAAGAAACCAAGUGAAUAUUAAAAAUAUUCCUAAUUGACAAGGAAGUACAGGAGCUGACUUGCUAGGAUCACAGAACCAACAACAAGAGUGCGUCUGCAUGUCAAGACUCUGACCUACUGUGUGGGACUCUUUUCAUUACUCCAUCCUCAUCCUCCACCAGCCAUAGCCACCGAAGAACACUCACUUAUUUAAGCAAACUCUGUUUUUAGAAUUGAAGAUGAUAAUUAUUUAUUGCUUUUUUCAGAGUUUUUAUUUUUUAACAUUUAUUACAACAAAUUAGAAUAUAAGAUGAU
rnacentral:lncRNA from 10 species